CGCGGGGUAGAGUAGUUGGUUACUCACCGGCCCCAUAAGCCGGUCACGUUGGUUCGAAUCCAACCCCCGCUACCA
rnacentral:tRNA from 1 species